rnacentral:rRNA from 1 species
UACAGAGGUGGCAAGCGUUGUUCGGAAUUACUGGGCGUAAAGGGCGCGUAGGCGGCCUUCUAAGUCAGACGUGAAAUCCCCCGGCUUAACCUGGGAACUGCGUCCGAUACUGGGAGGCUUGAGUAUGGGAGAGGGAUGUAGAAUUCCAGGUGUAGCGGUGAAAUGCGUAGAUAUCUGGAGGAAUACCGGUGGCGAAGGCGGCAUCCUGGACCAUAACUGACGCUGAGGCGCGAAAGCUAGGGGAGCAAACGGG